rnacentral:rRNA from 1 species
GGUUAAGCGACUAAGCGUACACGGUGGAUGCCCUGGCAGUCAGAGGCGAUGAAGGACGUGCUAAUCUGCGAUAAGCGUCGGUAAGGUGAUAUGAACCGUUAUAACCGGCGAUUUCCGAAUGGGGAAACCCAGUGUGUUUCGACACACUAUCAUUAACUGAAUCCAUAGGUUAAUGAGGCGAACCGGGGGAACUGAAACAUCUAAGUACCCCGAGGAAAAGAAAUCAACCGAGAUUCCCCCAGUAGCGGCGAGCGAACGGGGAGCAGCCCAGAGCCUGAAUCAGUGUGUGUGUUAGUGGAAGCGUCUGGAAAGGCGCGCGAUACAGGGUGACAGCCCCGUACACAAAAAUGCACAUGCUGUGAGCUCGAUGAGUAGGGCGGGACACGUGGUAUCCUGUCUGAAUAUGGGGGGACCAUCCUCCAAGGCUAAAUACUCCUGACUGACCGAUAGUGAACCAGUACCGUGAGGGAAAGGCGAAAAGAACCCCGGCGAGGGGAGUGAAAAAGAACCUGAAACCGUGUACGUACAAGCAGUGGGAGCACGCUUAGGCGUGUGACUGCGUACCUUUUGUAUAAUGGGUCAGCGACUUAUAUUCUGUAGCAAGGUUAACCGAAUAGGGGAGCCGAAGGGAAACCGAGUCUUAACUGGGCGUUAAGUUGCAGGGUAUAGACCCGAAACCCGGUGAUCUAGCCAUGGGCAGGUUGAAGGUUGGGUAACACUAACUGGAGGACCGAACCGACUAAUGUUGAAAAAUUAGCGGAUGACUUGUGGCUGGGGGUGAAAGGCCAAUCAAACCGGGAGAUAGCUGGUUCUCCCCGAAAGCUAUUUAGGUAGCGCCUCGUGAAUUCAUCUCCGGGGGUAGAGCACUGUUUCGGCAAGGGGGUCAUCCCGACUUACCAACCCGAUGCAAACUGCGAAUACCGGAGAAUGUUAUCACGGGAGACACACGGCGGGUGCUAACGUCCGUCGUGAAGAGGGAAACAACCCAGACCGCCAGCUAAGGUCCCAAAGUCAUGGUUAAGUGGGAAACGAUGUGGGAAGGCCCAGACAGCCAGGAUGUUGGCUUAGAAGCAGCCAUCAUUUAAAGAAAGCGUAAUAGCUCACUGGUCGAGUCGGCCUGCGCGGAAGAUGUAACGGGGCUAAACCAUGCACCGAAGCUGCGGCAGCGACACUAUGUGUUGUUGGGUAGGGGAGCGUUCUGUAAGCCUGUGAAGGUGUGCUGUGAGGCAUGCUGGAGGUAUCAGAAGUGCGAAUGCUGACAUAAGUAACGAUAAAGCGGGUGAAAAGCCCGCUCGCCGGAAGACCAAGGGUUCCUGUCCAACGUUAAUCGGGGCAGGGUGAGUCGACCCCUAAGGCGAGGCCGAAAGGCGUAGUCGAUGGGAAACAGGUUAAUAUUCCUGUACUUGGUGUUACUGCGAAGGGGGGACGGAGAAGGCUAUGUUGGCCGGGCGACGGUUGUCCCGGUUUAAGCGUGUAGGCUGGUUUUCCAGGCAAAUCCGGAAAAUCAAGGCUGAGGCGUGAUGACGAGGCACUACGGUGCUGAAGCAACAAAUGCCCUGCUUCCAGGAAAAGCCUCUAAGCAUCAGGUAACAUCAAAUCGUACCCCAAACCGACACAGGUGGUCAGGUAGAGAAUACCAAGGCGCUUGAGAGAACUCGGGUGAAGGAACUAGGCAAAAUGGUGCCGUAACUUCGGGAGAAGGCACGCUGAUAUGUAGGUGAAGCGACUUGCUCGUGGAGCUGAAAUCAGUCGAAGAUACCAGCUGGCUGCAACUGUUUAUUAAAAACACAGCACUGUGCAAACACGAAAGUGGACGUAUACGGUGUGACGCCUGCCCGGUGCCGGAAGGUUAAUUGAUGGGGUCAGCGCAAGCGAAGCUCUUGAUCGAAGCCCCGGUAAACGGCGGCCGUAACUAUAACGGUCCUAAGGUAGCGAAAUUCCUUGUCGGGUAAGUUCCGACCUGCACGAAUGGCGUAAUGAUGGCCAGGCUGUCUCCACCCGAGACUCAGUGAAAUUGAACUCGCUGUGAAGAUGCAGUGUACCCGCGGCAAGACGGAAAGACCCCGUGAACCUUUACUAUAGCUUGACACUGAACAUUGAGCCUUGAUGUGUAGGAUAGGUGGGAGGCUUUGAAGUGUGGACGCCAGUCUGCAUGGAGCCGACCUUGAAAUACCACCCUUUAAUGUUUGAUGUUCUAACGUUGACCCGUAAUCCGGGUUGCGGACAGUGUCUGGUGGGUAGUUUGACUGGGGCGGUCUCCUCCUAAAGAGUAACGGAGGAGCACGAAGGUUGGCUAAUCCUGGUCGGACAUCAGGAGGUUAGUGCAAUGGCAUAAGCCAGCUUGACUGCGAGCGUGACGGCGCGAGCAGGUGCGAAAGCAGGUCAUAGUGAUCCGGUGGUUCUGAAUGGAAGGGCCAUCGCUCAACGGAUAAAAGGUACUCCGGGGAUAACAGGCUGAUACCGCCCAAGAGUUCAUAUCGACGGCGGUGUUUGGCACCUCGAUGUCGGCUCAUCACAUCCUGGGGCUGAAGUAGGUCCCAAGGGUAUGGCUGUUCGCCAUUUAAAGUGGUACGCGAGCUGGGUUUAGAACGUCGUGAGACAGUUCGGUCCCUAUCUGCCGUGGGCGCUGGAGAACUGAGGGGGGCUGCUCCUAGUACGAGAGGACCGGAGUGGACGCAUCACUGGUGUUCGGGUUGUCAUGCCAAUGGCACUGCCCGGUAGCUAAAUGCGGAAGAGAUAAGUGCUGAAAGCAUCUAAGCACGAAACUUGCCCCGAGAUGAGUUCUCCCUGACCCUUUAAGGGUCCUGAAGGAACGUUGAAGACGACGACGUUGAUAGGCCGGGUGUGUAAGCGCAGCGAUGCGUUGAGCUAACCGGUACUAAUGAACCGUGAGGCUUAACCUU